rnacentral:rRNA from 1 species
AGGGUUUGAUCAUGGCUCAGAACGAACGCUGGCGGCAUGCCUAACACAUGCAAGUCGAACGAACCCUUCGGGGUUAGUGGCGCACGGGUGCGUAACGCGUGGGAACCUGCCUUUUGGUUCGGAAUAACAGUGAGAAAUUGCUGCUAAUACCGGAUAAUGUCUUCGGACCAAAGAUUUAUCGCCAUUAGAUGGGCCCGCGUAGGAUUAGCUAGUUGGUGGGGUAAAGGCCUACCAAGGCGACGAUCCUUAGCUGGUCUUAGAGGAUGAUCAGCCACACUGGGACUGAGACACGGCCCAGACUCCUACGGGAGGCAGCAGUGGGGAAUAUUGGACAAUGGGCGAAAGCCUGAUCCAGCAAUGCCGCGUGAGUGAUGAAGGCCUUAGGGUUGUAAAGCUCUUUUACCCGGGAUGAUAAUGACAGUACCGGGAGAAUAAGCCCCGGCUAACUCCGUGCCAGCAGCCGCGGUAAUACGGAGGGGGCUAGCGUUGUUCGGAAAUACUGGGCGUAAAGCGUGCGUAGGCGGCUUGGCAAGUCAGGGGUGAAAUCCCAGAGCUCAACUCUGGAACUGCCCUUGAAACUGCCGAGCUAGAAUCUUGGAGAGGUCAGUGGAA